rnacentral:lncRNA from 1 species
CCACACCUGACGUACCUCUGGGCCUUCGAGACAAGUCACUGUCAUGAGGAUGUGGUUAAAGUUUGUGCAGCUCCACCUCAGCACAUACAUUCCUGCUUCAUUCCCUUCCUGUCGCAGUUUGUUGAUGGCAUAUUCAGUGCAAAUGGGUCCAUGGCAACCAUUCUUUAUGUUGUGUUCAAUCAGUGGGGGAGCCACAUCUGUGCAGAGAUAAUGGUGGGCAUCUGCUGUAAGUCUGAAGUAUCCAUCUAUCAAUGAUGCAAAUGACAGAGCUUCAUCAUGUGAGGACAGUUUUAAUUCCAUCUUUUUGUUAUCCUGCUUGUUAAUGCUAACUGUAGACUCCUUGAUGACAAUGUGAGUGAUUUCAGGAAAAUAGGAAAAAUUGUUCCACAAAUCUCGGGUUUUGUAUCUAUCUUCAUCCUUUUUGAUUUUGCCAUCAGACUUUUUCUUCUUCUCUGUCUGCACAGAACUUGGCUUGAGCCUCC